rnacentral:lncRNA from 1 species
GACCUGGCUCCUCCUGAGAGGUGAUGCUUAUCUGUCAGAACUUGGAGGUGCCUUCUGUUCCGACUGCAGCUGGGCUGUAUCUUCUAUCCACAGAUUCACAUCGGCAUUUCACGUCCUUCUUGCUGCAGCCCCAUUUCCAAAGGGAGACCACCCCCACAUCCUUCAAGGCAGGCUAGGGGUCUCCAUAGCACAGCAUUGGACCAUCUGCUUUGCAUGCAGGCCUUCUGUCCUGGGAAUGUCCCCCCCCCCAUCGAAACCCUGGAUAGCUGCUGCCAGUCAGCGCAGGAUAGAAGAAGGAUAUUGAGCAGCUGGAAGGUGAGCAGAGGAGGGCGACCAGGAUGAUGAAGGGUCUGGAAACCAAGCCUGAUGAGGAACAGUUGAGGCAGCUGGGUAUGUUUAGCCUGGAGAAGAGGAGAGAGGAGAGCCAUCUUCCAAUAUCUGAGGGCUGCAAGAGGGAGCAAGCUUGUUUUCUGCUGCUCCAGAGGGGAGGGCAGGAGAGGAGAUUCGGACUAAACAUUAGCAAGAACUUUCUGACGGUAAGACUAUCUGUGAUGGUGGUGGACUCUGCUUCCUUGGAGGCUUUUAAGCAGAGGUUGGAUGCCAAUCUGCAAGGGAUUCAGCUGCAAUUUGGGAAGCGCAUGGCACUGGCCUACUUUACAGGGUUGUUGUAACCACACAAGGCUGUUGAGCAUCUGAAAGUGCCUGGCAAAUGUUGAGCCUUCCAUUUCAUUGUGGGGAACAGCACGUCAGGAGGCGUCCCUCAACUUCCGUUUCUUCUCUCUCCUGCAGCCAAGGGGGCCGGGCUGGAUUACCAAAUAGGCAGAGUAGGCACUGGCCUAUGGGCCCCACACAUUUUAGGGGUCCCGUCACAAUGGAUCAAAAUAAGAUUGAUUUGAUCUUGAAAGAAAACAACAAACAAGCUUUCUUAGUUCAAGGUUAUUCCAGUGUGCGCACGAGGCCUGCCUCCCUGCCCAGAUUUUGGCUGCCAAGGGGCCUCCACAGGGUUUAAUCCAGCACUGCCUCACAAACAGCCCAGUAUAUCUGAAGGAGCGUCACCACCCCCAUCGUUCAGCUCCAUCCCCACCCACUGAGGUCCAGCUCCGAGGGCCUUUUGGCAGUUCCCUCACAGCGAGAAGUGUUCCCUGGUUACAGGGAACCAGACAGAGGGCCUUCUCGGUAGUGGCACCCACCUUGUGGAAUGCCCUCCCAUCAGAUGUCAAGGAAAUAAACAACUGUCUGACUUUUAGAAAACAUCUGAAGCAAUUUCCCCAAAUACUUUCGUAUGCUAUUUUCACUAACCAAUACAACACUAGGCACAUUUUACUUGGAAAACUGCACUGAAAAACCUGAAGACGUGCAAAUUAUGAAGUAUAGCUGCUUUGGAGCUUGCACUUUGUUGAGAAGUACGUAUUAGGCACUUUCUCACUGAAAUGCAACCAAAGUUGAGUUCUCCCUCCAUGAUAAGGUGGUAUGAACACUAUAAUUAUAUCUCCCAAUUUCAGUCUCAUGCAAAAAUAUUUCAGGCCAUAUACAGCCAUGAUGGGCAAAAGAAACAAUGGUUAAUAUAAUAUAAUAUAGUACAUAAUAUAGUACAUAAUAUAAAAAAAGGUAAAGGUAAAGGUACCCCUGCCCGUACGGGCCAGUCUUGACAGACUCUAGGGUUGUGCGCUCAUCUCACUCUAUAGGCCGGGAGCCAGCGCUGUCCGCAGACACUUCCGGGUCACGUGGCCAGCGUGACAAGCUGCAUCUGGCGAGCCAGCGCAGCACACGGAACGCUGUUUACCUUCCUACUGGUAAGCAGUCCCUAUUUAUCUACUUGCACCCGGAGGUGCUUUCGAACUGCUAGGUUGGCAGGCGCUGGGACCGAACGACGGGAGCGCACCCCGCCGCGGGGAUUCGAACCGCCGACCAUGUGAUCGGCAAGUCCUAGGCGCUGAGGUUUUACCCACAGUGCCACCCGCGUCCCCCCAUGUACAUAAUAUAGUCCAUAAUAUAAUAUAAUAUAAUAUAAUAUAAUAUAAUAUAAUAUAAUAUAAUAUAAUAUAAUAUAGCAGUCAUCUGAACCUGUCUCUGGCAGUAAUCAAGACUCACAGACACCUUGUAAGGCAGGGAACAGAAAUAAAGAAAAAGAUCGCAGUAAAUAUGUCAGCCAAGCAGUUUGGACUCCUAAAGUUUAUGUUGUCAUGGAAGCCAAAUGCAACAUUUGGUAUAUCCAAACUGGCUUUUGGCGGCCAAUGCAGCCAGAAGUACAAUAAACCUGUAAUUCCUCAGGAUGUCUGCCUUCACUAGGUGCAUCGCAACAGCUUCUGAGCUACAAAUCUCCCUCUUUGGCUGUUUGCGCUUCUUCCUGAGAGAGGGGGUCUUACAGUUAAUUUCAAACGCAAUUAAAGUUCAAAGAUUUACCGCGGUGAUGGGGGUCUCCUCCAGAUGUUGCUAGCUUACUACUAGCAUCAGUCCCAGCCGGCGUGGCCAACAGACAGGGAUGAUGGAAACUAUGGUCCCAAGCAACCAGAAAACCAAGGAGACAGCACUAACAGGAAAAGAUGCUAGCUGCUUGAGGAAAGAUUCCAUUCAGGCCUGACACAUUUCAGAGUACGGUCAAACCUUGGUUCCCGAAUGGCUUAGUUGCUGAACAAAUCGCCUCCCGAAUGCAGCAAACCUGGAAGUAAGUGUUUGCGAGCGUUUUUUGGGAGCUGAACGUCCGACGCAGCUUCCGCUUGAGUGCAGGAAGCUCCUGCAGCCAAUCGGAAGCCGCGCCUUGGUUUUCAAACGGUUUCGGGAGUCGAAUGGACUCCUGUAACGGAUUAAGUUUGAGAACCACGGUACCACUGUCGUCAUCAUAAACUUUAUUGCACUAGCCAAACUCCAUGGCAUCAUUCAUAAAGGAAACAGAAACAAAAAUAACCAUAAAAACCAUAAAAACACCAGGCACUGCAAAUACAAUAAACCACGGUCACAUCUCCUAGAAAUUAUUUGUUGUGUACGAUAGAAUAGCAGGGGGUUCUCAGAUAGAAUGUGCCAGCUUAAAUGUCCGAAUCAGCUUUGCAAUUGGCCGCUAUUUUAUCUAGUUCUUUUCUCCGGAUCUUCUUAGCUGCCAACGCAUAUAGUGCUACUUUGUAAGUUACGAAGUCAUCAGUAUCACUCAGCAGCCAUUUCACCCUUUCUGCCCUGUUCGAGUGUGUUCCGUUCGCAAGCAGGGUUUUUUUUUAUAAAUCAGUCUCUUGGUUCUAUAUAUAGCAGGCAUUGCAAUAAAUAGUGGUACAGGUCCUCUACGCAAGGUUGUCCACACAGGUAAAGUCUCUCCUUGUACUGUACUUUGCUGUACCGACCAUCCACCACCGCCGAGGGCAAGGUACCACUGUAGUUCUUCCUCAGGGGCACGUAGCAAUGGUCAUUGAGUUCUUGAACCAUGGCAGUGACCCAUUUCCACUGCAGUGGUCCAUGCACUUGAUAGGAAACACACCCCAAAAGAAGCACUAUUUCCCCCUAAGUGCAUCAUGAUAAUGCAGAUUGUACCUUCUUUGACGCGAGCUCAAGAGAGAACAGGGAGUCCACCACCGUGACACACAUUUCAUUAGCUGAAACACUUCUGCUGUUCAGCGUGGUCUGUAGUUAUCCAAGUUGUAAGAGGAGCACUUACGCCUGCCUCCUUACCCUGUAAUUACCGUAUUUUUUGCUCUAUAAGACUCACUUUUCCCCUCCUAAAAAGUAAGGGGAAAUGUAUGUGCGUCUUAUGGAGCGAAUUCAGGCUGCACAGCUAUCCCAGAAGCCAGAACAGCAAGAGGGAUUGCUGCUUUCACUGCGCAGCGAUCCCUCUUACUGUUCUGGCUUCUGAGAUUCAGAAUAUUUUUUUUCUUGUUUUCCUCCUCCAAAAACUAGGUGCGUCUUGUGGUCUGGUGCGUCUUAUAGAGCGAAAAAUACGGUAUGUAAAAAAAGGGAAUCCUCUGACUCUCUCUAAGACCAAUAUUAUGCAGGCUAGCUAAAAAUGAUUCUUUAUCUGUAUAGACUUGCUCAUUCAUUGUCCUCCCUAAUCCUCUAGUUUUUCCAUAAUUAUCUGGAUGAAACUCGAACGUAGAGUUCCAUGCCCCUUAUAAACUGCAAUGGCCACCACCUGUAAUUAUUAUUAUUAUUUAUUUCAUUUCUAUACCGCUUUACGUUUUCAAGAAAAAAACCUCAAAGCCGUUUACAACACAUUUAAACAUCAAAUAAAACAACCCAGAAUAAAACAUUAUUGAAGAAAGUAUACAUUCAAAGCAAUAUACAGUGGUACCUCGGGUUACAAAUUUAAUUCAUUCCAGAGGUCCGUUCUUAACCUGAAACUGUUCUUAACCUGAGGUACCACUUUAGCUAAUGGGGCCUCCCACUGCUGCUGUGCCGCUGCCAUGUGAUUUCUGUCCUCAUCCUGAGGUAAAGUUCUUAACCUGAGGUACUAGUUCCGGGUUAGUGGAGUUUAUAAUCUGAAGUGUUUGUAACCCGAGGUUUUUGUAACCUGAGGUACCACUGUAGUUAACAGGAAACUAAAGCAUUGUCUUAAAUAUUUCAAAACAAAACGUUAUGAAGGUGGUCAACUACAGCAUUAACACAGCAAAGUUAACAAAAACAACCACAACCUUAAGCAUUUUAAAAAAAAGCAUCCGAAAGGAAGUCAACUAUAAAAUGCACAUUUAAAAUAGCACAAUUAUCAAAUCUGUUAUGAUUUGAUACUUGUUUAGUAUUCUACUUAAUUAAAUUUCAGCCAGUUCCUGGCUCUCCUAUGAUCAUGGCAGAUGUGUGUGCGAGAGAGAAUUGUGCAUCAUAUUUAGAAAAUGACCUGGUUUGAACUUUGGUGAGCUACCAGAGGGAGGAUGUUAUUUACCCGGCAUGCAAUUAUUGAGAACUUAGGACUUCUGGGGUUUCCUGAGAGAUGCGCCAUCAUUUCCUAUUGAGCCAGCUGGGCCUGUCUGCAUCACAGUAGGUUUAGCUGUUGUCAUUUUCCACCUAAGGUACCUUGGGAACUGUAGUUCUUUGAAACGUUCUAUAGCAAAUGAAGCCAGGAUUGUUUGAGGGUGGGGUGGAAUGGUAGUUGAUUAAACUGGCUUUCGUGAAGUUUAGAAUCUGUUGUGUAGUAAUGGGGAGCUCUAAAUGUGUUCCUCCCCAUGAGUUUACUCAAGGCAGCCUGGCAAUUCAUCAUGCACCAGCUACCACAUGACUUCAUGGAAUAUCUGACAAUAUUUGUGGGGGUUAAAUAGGAGGAAGGUUAAUUAACUAGUGUCAGUGACAAUUUUGACCAGUUUUUUGUCUGAUGUGCCAACCUGAGAUUAAUGGUAUCCUGAAAAUGGUAGCAUGAACCUGUCUACAAGAGACAACACACACUUGCUAGCUUAUUUUCAUUGAAGUGAAUGGGGCAGUGGGAAUUAUUUGAGGAGAGUGUCCACUCUCAUCACUUCCCGUUGGACAUUAUCCAGUGUGGUGUAGUGGUUAAGAGCGGUAGACUCAUAAUCUGGCGAACUGGGUUCGCGUCUCCGCUCCUCCACAUUCAGCUGCUGGGUGACCUUGGGCUAGUCACACUUCUCUGAAGUCUCUCAGCCCCACUCACCUCACAGAGUGUUUGUUGUGGGGGAGGAAGGGAAAGGAGAAUGUUAGCUGCUAUGAGACUCCUUCAGGUAGUGAUAAAGCGGGAUAUCAAAUCCAAAUUCUUAUUCUUCUUUUGUACACCCAAGUUAAUGAUCUGGGUCUCACACCGCAACCAAUUCACUGAACAAUGAUUGUCUGCAUCCAAUGCAGUUGAGAGCAAUUCCAACACGAGUAUUCUGUUCUUUACAUCACCUUCUGCUUUCUGUCUUCAUUCACAAUGUCAUUCUGGUUCAGGGCCUUUUGAAAAUGUGUUGCCAGAUGGUCAGCCUGAGAAUUUUCUGCUGGUUCUCUGAAUGUCCCGAUUGCCUUUCUGACAAGCCUUGUUCGACUCUCCUUCCCGUUUGGGUCAUCAUGUUGGGAAACAUGAGAUGUUACGUUAAUCUCCAGCAGGCGAUUUCAGACCUUUUAGAUCCACUUAUAACCUCACGAUGAAUUACUUCACUGUUUGGCAAAUAUUAAAUAACAUCUUUUUGUUGUGUGUGUUGCUGUGGCAGUGUCUGUGUCUGUGAUCUUCGGGCUCCAGCUGGCUCCAGAAGCUGUUGCUGCUCAGUCUCAACUCGCCUGCCUCUUCCUCUCGCUUGUGUCCUCCUGUUGAAACACAGCUGGUUUGCAUCUGUCAGGACGGAUGGAGGGACAUUUCAAACUAACCUGGCAAGAGCUGAGAAGAUCCGGAGCUGCCAGUCUUGGAGAACAACUCUUGGCUCCCGCUGAGUACCGUAUGCCUGAGCCUGAACCAAUUAUCUCGCGUUACACAAUUAGGGAAAUCGACUCGCUCCUCAAUCCCCACAUCCUUUCCACAUUGCGUAUUUCAAGGCUGAUCCAAACAUGCAGAAAGAGUGUGGGAUGCCACUUCAGACAGCAGGUGGGAAGCUGCGAUUGCAAAUACACCCUUAGCAGGAAGCAAGCCCCACUGAGCUCCAUAGAUGUACUUACGAACUGACACACACCUGCUACGACUGACCGAACCCAAAGGGUGCUCAUCAAUGGUUCCUCUUCAUCCUGGAGAAGAGUGACUAGUGGGGUGCCACAGGGUUCUGUCUUGGGCCCGGUCUUAUUCAACAUCUUUAUCAACGACUUGGAUGAUGGACUCAAGGGCAUCCUGAUCAAAUUUGCAGAUGACACCAAACUGG